ensembl:lncRNA
GGACAGAGGAGCCUGGCAGGCUACAUUCCAUGGACUCACAGAGUCAGACACGACUGAAGGGAUUUAGCGCAAGCCACUGGGGAAGCCCUAUUGCUCACUAUAGUAGGCUAAAAUAAAGAUUCCUCAGGAUGUUCAAGCCCUAAUCCUCGGAGGAACGUGUCAGUGCUACUUUGUAUGACAAAUGGGACUCUGCAAAUGUGAUCAAGGAGGGACACAUGAGAAGCUGGAGGAGGAGGAAAUAUGAUGUAAGAGACUGGAGUGAUGUACUUUAAAGAGGGAUGAGGAGGCUACAAGCUGAGAAACACAGGAGGCCACUAGAAGUUGGAAAAGAUGUCUAGAUGUCUCCAGGUGCGGCUGGCCUGUAUAAAGAGAGACUCUGCCAGAGGCCAAGAUAACCUGAGCAUUCUUUACUCGAGAAGGCCCAAGGGCAGAAAGGAGGACAGCGGUCUGUUGUUCUGAAGACACCACUAUGAGUUGGCAUCACGGGCAAAUGGCCAGUCUGUGGAAGUGGAUCUGCCUGGCCUAUCUUCUUCUGCUUGUCUUGAUUUUUUCCACAGGAAAGUAUCAGCAGAAAAAGUUCCAGACUGUCUUUUCCUAAGCAGAUUUGUUUUCUGUGUUUAGCAAAUUCCAAACAUCGACCACAACUGCAAACUUCCUCUUCGAACUUAAUAAAGUGUUGCCCUGUAUACCUGAUAUUUUCCCUUGAUAAACAAGUGCAAUAAAUUCUAGAACAACUUUACGUUCACCAAGGGCUUUUUCUGAGAGAGAAAACUUGGAGAAAGAUGCUCUGAGAUGCUUUUACAGAAGUCUA